rnacentral:lncRNA from 1 species
UGGAUGGCAUCACUGACUCAAUGGACGUGAGUUUGAGUGAACUCUUGGAGCUGAUGAUGGACAGGGAGGCCUGGCGUACUGUGAUUCCUGGGGUCGCAAUGAGUUGCAAACGACUGAGCGACUGAACUGAACUGAUCUAUUGUAAAACAUAUCGAGUCUCCCUGUAGAGAUGUUUAUUCUAUAGAUUUUCUCUACAGAAAUGUAAAAAAGUAUAUCAUUAUAAUUUAUUGAAAAGCAACACUUUAACCUUUCAACCGAAACGUGUUGGCAGAUACAUGGAGACAUAACACAUUGUCACCAAGUGAGAGGACAUGUUGUGAUAGAGACUUUUUUUUAAGUUUGUUUGAGGCCCAUGAAGUCUAAUAGAGUACAUGAAAGUGAUGUCUUCAUGAAAAUGUGGGAUUAUUUUAUAUCUAUUUGUCCAAAUGAUUAUUCACAAAUCAUUUCAUUCAAUCAGGACUGUCAUCAUACCUCGAAGUCUCGAGCUAAACUUUUGGUGAUACUAUUAGGUGAAAAAUAGAAAUAUUUUAAACUUUGGUCAGAUUCUUGAAUUACUUUUAUAUAGAAGGUAGAGGACAAAAUAAUUAAGAGUUAAGACAGUUCAGCUUUACAGCCUAUGAUUAGGGCCAAGUUCUACCGAAGUUCUGUCUAAAGAUUAGAUGGACCAUUGUGGGCUGAUUUACUUAAUAUGUAGUUCACUUCAUCAACUGCAAUAAAAGUUUAUAAUAAAUAGCACAUAAAUUGUUGUUCAGUUGUUCAGUUGCUAAGUCAUGUCUGACUCUUUGGAACCCUAUGGCCUGCAGCACACCAGAUUUCCUUUUCCUAACUAUCUCCCAGAGUUUGCUCAAAUGUCAUGUCCAUGAAGUCAGUGAUGCUAUCUAACCAUCUCUUACUCUGUCACCCUUCUCUCCAUUUGCCUUCAGUUGUUCCAAACAUUAAGGUCUUUUCCAAUGAAUAGGCUCUUUGCAUCAAGUGACCAAAGUAUUGGAGCUUCAACUUCAGCUUCAGUCUUUCCAAUGAAUAUUCAUUGGAAUCAAUGAAUAUUGAUUUCCUUUAGGAUUGACUGGUUUGAUCUCCUUGUUGUNNNNNNNNNNNNNNNNNNNNNNNNNNNNNNNNNNNNNNNNNNNNNNNNAAUUCUUUGGUGCUCAGCCUUCUUUAUAGUCCAACCCUCACAUCCAUACACAAUUACUGGAAAAAUCAUAGUUUUGACUAUAAGGUCCUUUCUCAGCAAAGUGAUGUCUCUGCUCUUUAAUACUCCAGGUGUCAAUAGUGGUAAAGAAUUUGCCUGCCAAUGCAGGAUACAUAAAAGAAGUGGGUUUUAUCCCUGAGUCAGGAAUAUCUCCUGGAUUAGGGCAUGCAAUCCACUCCAAUAUCCUUUUUUUU